rfam:Dictyostelium fasciculatum unplaced genomic scaffold Scf_ET2XIPL01COFD4-5, whole genome shotgun sequence.
GGUUCUUUGGUGGAGUGGUUAACACGCAUCCCUGCUAAGGAUGUUCCUUCGGGAGCGCAGGUUCGAACCCUGCAGGAACCG